AAAAAGGGUAAAACUGAUUGUUUUAUAAAGUGGUCCAGCCACCUUUGUACUAGAUAGAGCAGUGCAGACGGAGCUGCAUCAGCCAGUGCACUCAGUGCACGGAUUACUGUCAAAAGAUGGUGUUCGAAUAUGAAGAAUAAAGGAGGAGGGAAUAAAACAGGGAGCGGACAAAAGAGGGGGCCCAGUGAAUAGAAUAUACAAAAAAAGGAAUGAUAUUCCUCAGUGGCUGAUAUCUUUUAAUGGCUAACU